UACGGAGGGUCCAAGCGUUAUCCGGAUUUAUUGGGUUUAAAGGGUCCGUAGGCGGGAUAUUAAGUCAGUGGUGAAAGCCUGCAGCUUAACUGUAGCACUGCCAUUGAUACUGGUAUUCUUGAGUAUAGUUGAAGUGGGCGGAAUAUGUCAUGUAGCGGUGAAAUGCAUAGAUAUGACAUAGAACACCUAUUGCGAAGGCA
rnacentral:rRNA from 1 species